rnacentral:rRNA from 1 species
GACGAACGCUGGCGGCGUGCUUAACACAUGCAAGUCGAACGGAAAGGCCCUGCUUUUGCGGGUGUUCGAGUGGCGACCGGGUGAUUAACACGUGGGUAAUCUGCCCUUGAUUUUGGGAUAAUUUCAGGAAACUGGGGCAAAUACCGGAUAGGAGCUCCUGCUGCAUGGUGGGGCUUGGGAAGUUUCGGCGGUUGGGGAUGGUUUUGCGGCUUAUCGGCUUGUUGGUGGGUGAGUGGCUUACCAAGGCUUUGGCGGGUAGCCGGCCUGAGAGGGUAACCGGGGACAAUGCGACUGAGGUACGGAGCAGAGUCCAACGGUAGGCAGCGGGGGAGAGUAUGGCACAGUGGGGCGGAGCCUGAGGCGGCGGCGCCGCGUGCGGGAUGACGGCCUACGAGUGAUAAACCGCUGUCGCCUGUGACGAAGCGGGAGUGACGGUAAUGGGUAAAGAAGCACCGGCUAACUACGUG